rnacentral:rRNA from 1 species
GAUGAACGCUGGCGGCGUGCCUAAUACAUGCAAGUCGAGCGAACAGACGAGGAGUUUGCUCCUCUGACGUUAGCGGCGGACGGGUGAGUAACACGUGGAUAACCUACCUAUAAGACUGGGAUAACUUCGGGAAACCGGAGCUAAUACCGGAUAAUAUAUUGAACCGCAUGGUUCAAUAGUGAAAGACGGUUUUGCUGUCACUUAUAGAUGGAUCCGCGCCGUAUUAGCUAGUUGGUAAGGUAACGGCUUACCAAGGCAACGAUGCGUAGCCGACCUGAGAGGGUGAUCGGCCACACUGGAACUGAGACACGGUCCAGACUCCUACGGGAGGCAGCAGUAGGGAAUCUUCCGCAAUGGGCGAAAGCUUGACGGAGCAACGCCGCGUGAGUGAUGAAGGUCUUCGGAUCGUAAAACUCUGUUAUUAGGGAAGAACAAAUGUGUAAGUAACUAUGCACGUCUUGACGGUACCUAAUCAGAAAGCCACGGCUAACUACGUG